CGUUCCGACCACCCUUUCUCUAAUAAUAAGGGCGUUAAGAAACCUAUACAAGGGGCAAGCCAAAACCUUUUACUAGGUUGGGUUGCUGGAUACGGGAUCCUCGUAGUAGGCUGGACCAACAUCCAGCCGAGAGAGGGCAGCCUUUAGAAGCAACAGGUUGGUCGUAGAUCAAGAACGGUUCGCGUUUUCUUAUCUUCUUCCCGCCCUAGGAGUAGGAGUAGCACAAAAAGAGGGAUUACCAUUAUUGACCCAAUGAUAAACCACUAACACCUUCCUCGUUGGGGCUCCGCGCACUGGGAAAACGCUCUACCGAGUUUCUCCAUCGCUUGCAUCUCAAUCUCUGCGGCUCUUUCAUUUUUUCUCGCAUUCGGCUCUCUGGAAAAUUUGAAUCAGCAUUUCAAGCCUAGAAGCCGUUUUCUUCUCUUCCUCCCGAGCACCUCCAUCGGUUGCAUCUCAAUCUCUGCGGCUCUUUCAUUUUUUCUCUCAUCCGUCUCUCUCGAGAAUUUGAAUAAGUUAUAAUAUUAACAAUGGCUGGUAAUGGCUUAGAUGGUUCUACUGCCAGUUCACGCCCACUCUCGG